GGACUGAAGGGUUUUUUUUUUUUUUAUACCAAAAGGGUUAUUUUUGAGAUCUUAGGGUUCGGACCUCAUUAAUGCACAUGUUAUGUAAAUGUGGAAGCGUAAAGGCACAAGCAGUGUUUGAGAGGAUACCCAAUGAAGACGUGGCUGUUUGGAGUGCCAUGAUAAAUGGUCAAGCGGUGCAUGGGAUGGGAAACGAGGCUCUGAGUCUCUUCCACAAGAUGCAAAAUGAAGAAGGAAUUAAGCCAGAUGACAUUGUUUACUCCAUCGUAUUAUUGGCUUGCAGCCAUUCAGGAUUGAUAGAAGAUGGAUUGAAGUAUUUUAGAAGCAUGUAGAAGGAUUUUGGAAUAGAAGCCAAUAUACAAUAUUAUUCUUGUUUGGCGGAUCUUCUUGGUCGAGCUGUUUAUGUGGAAUUGGCCUUGAGAACUAUCCAAGAGAUGUCUAAGUUCAAGCUUGAGUUUGGGCUCCAUUCCUUAAUGCUUGCUACACGCAUCAUAACCCUGAGCUUGGAGAGUUUGCGGCUAAGUUGUUCGAUUUGGAACCGAGAAGCACUCGCAAUUUUGUAUUGAUGACUAAUCUGUAUACAUCUGUCAGGAUGUGGAAGGAGGCAGCUAAUGCAAGAAGUUUAAUAGAUGCUAGGGAAUUGUUUAAGGAGCCUGGUUGGAGCCAUAUUGAGAUUGAUGGUGCUGUCCAUGUUCUUGCUGCAGAAGGCCAAUCCCACCUAGAGCCAACUGAUAUCCAUGAGAUAGAAACUUUCUGACGCUGGGAAUGUUGCAGAGACAAAGGUGGUGAUCCACAAGUUGGAAAAGGAAGAGGAUGCAUUGAAGGUCGAGGCUGAGUGUGCAGCUAUUGCAUUUGGCCUCUUUGCUAAAAGAACCCGCUAAUUAAGCUGGUGCCACUGCUCUGUGUGUAUAAUCGAGCUAUGGUCAUCUCUUAACCAUUUUGAAUCAGGAGACAUCAUUUAACAACUCGUCAUGGAAGAAUUUCAGAUAAUUUUACAUCUAAAUCUGUUUGUGUCAACUAUUUGCGCACUUGCUCUGAGUGAUCAUUCUGAAUCAAAACAAGACAAGGGAAUCACUUUGAGUUGUACAUUCUUUAAGGGAAAACUAGACUUUAGACUUA